rnacentral:pre_miRNA from 1 species
AGUAAAGUAACUGGUUGGCAGUGUGGUUAGCUGGUUGUCAGAAUAAUUAAGGGAACAACGGCUAUCAACACUGCCCUACUAGUUUCUUUUAAU